CCUACGGGAGGCAGCAGUGAGGAAUAUUGGUCAAUGGACGUAAGUCUGAACCAGCCAUGUCGCGUGCAGGAAGACGGCUCUAUGAGUUGUAAACUGCUUUUGUACGGGGGUAAAUCGUGGUACGUGUAUUGGGUUGUAAGUACCGUACGAAUAAGGAUCGGCUAACUCCGUGCCAGCAGCCGCGGUAAUACGGAGGAUUCGAGCGUUAUCCGGAUUUAUUGGGUUUAAAGGGUGCGUAGGCGGUUCGAUAAGUCAGAGGUGAAAUCCCGUGGCUCAACUACGGCACUGCCUCUGAUACUGUGGGGCUAGAGUUUAUUUGCGGUAGGCGGAAUGUAUGGUGUAGCGGUGAAAUGCAUAGAGAUCAUACAGAACACCGAUUGCGAAGGCAGCUUACCAAACUACGACUGACGUUGAGGCACGAAAGCGUGGGGAGCAAACAGGAUUAGAUACCCCAGUAGUC
rnacentral:rRNA from 1 species